CGGCAACUUAACUUGGAAGCACUGUACGUAUGACUUAUGGAGACGUCGCGUGAACUAUAUCGAUAACGUAUCGUUUAGGAAAAUAUCUGUCAAUUCCUCGAAUAAAUUAACCGAUUUCUGCGGUUAAUACGCAUAUUCUGAGUGGAGUUUGCCCUUUGCGGUGGCGAUAGAUAACACGAUCUUUCGGAGAAGAAAGUCAACUUCGGUAGAAGGAUGAUAAUUAAUAAUUGUUGACAGCGUGGUUUCAAUUACGACGCUCUCGAAUGGUUUUGGUCGUCACUUUUGGGAUUUCUUGGGAAAUCCGAUGUGAAGAAGAGUAGUGCUAGGUAGAUGGAGCUGUUUUAUUUAGUGUUAAUGAAUUUGGAAAUAAUGUUUACAUUCUGCCGCGUCAAACUUCGCGCGUAACAUUGCACAAUAACCAAAAAUCAAGAAACGGGCUUGUAAUUCUUUUCGAUUUACAUAAUUUGUAACCGUUUCCAAGGAAAUAUGACGCGUUCCUUGUAACAAAGAGCGAUAAAAAAUAUCAUUCAUGGAAGGGAACACGUAAAAUAAUUGCGGAACGUUGUCGAUGAUCGUUAAUAUCUCUUGAGAAGAAAAUACGAAUUACCGUGUACGAUUACAAGUUUAUUAUGCGGAGCUACGUAAGUAUAAUAACACUUCGUAGCAUCUUUUCCUUAAUCAUUGACAAUUGCGUUGUUCCGUCCGUGUGAAUCCGUUGCACUUCAUUUUGUUGCCCAAGGCUGAAGCGAGUAUCGUUGCCUUCCCCGGCGAUGGAAGUGGAUAGCAAUAAUUACCAAACCACUCGAUACCGUUUGCCACGAUCCAUGACAGAAAAUCGAAAGUUUACGAGGAACGAUUCUAAUUAUUAAAUAAACCAAACCGAAACGAUACUAAGCUGUUUCUUGUCCACGAUGAAUUAUCGGUUUACCAACAUCGGUGACAGUAUUCUUGUUUACACGACGAUGCAGAAAUAGCCGUAACGAGAGACGCCAGGAGAAUUGUUUCACGUACCUAAGUCUCGUCUUUAUGACUCAAUUCGAUCUAGGCUGAUAAUUCAUGGGCGAUCUUAAGCAAAAAGAAUUUUAAUCUAUCACGACCUUGGCCUAUCGAGGCAAAUCCUAUCUAUGACUAGCGAGGAAUUUGAUAAUCUACCAGUUGACAACACGUAAAAAAUUUAUUCAAAUUCAACGUGAUCAAACAAAAGUUUCCUAACAUAAAUAUAUCUUUAUUUUUAAAGAUUAGAUUUAGGACAAAAUUAAAGACAAUCUUCUAAAUACGAGUUGUUAUCAUUAUGAAUAUUUAAAAUGUUUCCCGAAACAUCGUUCAUCUUCUUUUGUUUGAGGAUAAUUGAACGAAUCACGCUUCAUUGAUUUACAUCGAUUGCAAAAAUUAUGGAAUAUAAUUUGUUUUUCUGAUGGUAAUGACGUUUGUAUUUUUCCACACAUCCUAUAAAUUAACUACUAUGAGUGUACACUAUGAAAGAAUACAUGUAACGACGUAUUGAUCACAAGAUUCCUUAAAAAUAUAGGACGUUUAUUUAAAUUAAAAAGUGAUCACAUGUUUCGUGAUUGUUUAAUUGUGAUCCUAAUUAUAGUUAUAUCAAAUAUCUUAGACAUCCUAGGUAUUCUAAUUAUGAUUAUGUAAUAUCGAAUAAAUCCUUAAAAAUCUUGUGUUUGAUUAAAAUUCGACCGCAAAGAACCAAUGUAGAAUGUAAAAUGAAUAGAAUAAUUUCUGAUCAUUUUAAUGGUGGGAUCUUGCUCUGACUAGUUGUUAAUUUCCAAGUUAUCCAGCAAAAUAAUACCUGCGCGAGAUAAUUGAGGAGAUCUCGAACUUUGGGGUUUCCCGUAUCUGCAAUUUGAUCAGAUUAUUUACGUGUCUGAAUGCAGCUAGUCCACGCUUACACGGAUUACUCAGAAUUUCCAACUUCUCAUUUCCGGUAGGUGAAAUAUACCCUACAAGCCAAUGACCAACAUGAUUCAUUUCCAUUGUUUCUUUCGGGAUAAUUAAUCCAGCCAAAAUCUAUUCUCAAGAUACAUUCAUUCUUAAAAAAGAAAAUCCGAUGUUGCAAGUCUUCGCAUCAUAUCAAUAUUUUAUUCUGAAGUUGAGAUCUAUGUACAAAACCCGUUUUCUAGCUACACGUUUGUUAUAAAUUAAAUGACGGAAAUCCCUAUCGAAGAGUUCAUUAAACAUUUUUUUUUUCUGCAUCGUUCAAUUUCAGCUCAACGGUUCCCGUUGCUGAUAGGUGUUAAUUGGCCCCAGGUAUACUUUUUUGCGAGUUUCGCUGACAAAGAAUAAUCCGUGUGUCACUGUCACGUCCUUGAAUCCGACUGGUGAACGUAUACCUCCCGAUUCUCAGGUUUCCGUGUUAUACGAGCAUCGCAAUCUCACGCGAACGGUUUCCCUACCAAUCGACUGGGAUUUUUAAAAGUCUUAGAACAUAGACGGCCAUAAGUAAAUAAAUUAAUUAAUGUGACCAUUUGGAGUCCAUCGAUAACAUACACGUGGUUGUGGAUGGUAGGGUAAUAAUUUAAUGACUUUUGCAAAGGUUUUUCACAGAACAAUUAGUCAUGGUAAAUGAAAAAAAAAAAAACUUUAAAUUACUUUAGUUUCUUGUAAAUCUAAUAUUGGAGAAAACAAAAGUGGCUCUUUUUCAGCGAUAAGUUUAUCUUUGAGACUACGUUGCAUACUUGCAAACAAUAAUUAUACUUGUGAGAAUGUGCCUAGCGUAGCGGAAAUAAUGAGAAACACAAUCGUUUUACACGCCAUACAUCAGGAUGGUAUGCAAGUUCUCAGGAGCUGUAGCGGUGUUUUUUGAAGCUACGGUACGGACUUAGCAACCCCGAGGUACCCGAGCUAGAGGGUACCCAAUAGAUGAGAAGUAAGAGAUACUGCAAACAGUAUUAAAACAAUGCAGGAGUCAUGUAUGACGCAUGUCGAAUGAAGAAAUAUGGAAAUGUAAACAAAUAGAGAAAGUGGUAGUGAAGUAGCUUUGUCAAUUGUAAAAAGCUGAUCACUUCAAUAAACGACUGAACCGAACUGAUGGUAUUCAAGUUCCAAUGGAAAAUGAACCACGAUGGAAUAGCAGGUACCAUACGUAGAUAAAGUCAUCGGUCGUCGAUAAAGCAGGAUUGUACUGUCCGGUUCAUAUAAAAGCUC